CCUACGGGCGGCAGCAGUGGGGAAUAUUGCACAAUGGGCGCAAGCCUGAUGCAGCCAUGCCGCGUGUGUGAAGAAGGCCUUCGGGUUGUAAAGCACUUUCAGCGGGGAGGAAGGCGGUGAGGUUAAUAACCUCAUCGAUUGACGUUACCCGCAGAAGAAGCACCGGCUAACUCCGUGCCAGCAGCCGCGGUAAUACGGAGGGUGCAAGCGUUAAUCGGAAUUACUGGGCGUAAAGCGCACGCAGGCGGUCUGUCAAGUCGGAUGUGAAAUCCCCGGGCUCAACCUGGGAACUGCAUUCGAAACUGGCAGGCUAGAGUCUUGUAGAGCGGGGUAGAAUUCCAGGUGUAGCGGUGAAAUGCGUAGAGAUCUGGAGGAAUACCGGCGGCGAAGGCGGCCCCCUGGACAAAGACUGACGCUCAGGUGCGAAAGCGUGGGGAGCAAACAGGAUUAGAUACCCGAGUAGUC
rnacentral:rRNA from 1 species